UGAACACAGCUGGUGGUAUCCA
rnacentral:ncRNA from 8 species